GGUUGCGAUCAUACCAGCACUAAUGCACCGGAUUCCAUCAGAACUCCGCAGUUAAGCGUGCUUGGGCGAGAGUAGUACUAGGAUGGGUGACCCCCUGGGAAGUCCUCAUGUUGAAACCC
rnacentral:rRNA from 1 species